rnacentral:misc_RNA from 1 species
UUGACUUAUUAAAAUAAGACGCUCAGAUUACUUAAAAAUAACAAGAGUUUAGUAGUCCACCGGCAGGCGCUACAGGGUAAGCCGUUCCCGGGUAGGUCGCUACAGGGUAGCUCGCUACAGGGUAGGUUCGCCCAGCAACAUCUGCCGAGGCAACAGUGGUAAGUUCACAUGGGUUUGGGAGUUAGAUAACUCUGUAAUGAUCCCUCCGCUGGUUCACCAACGGAGA